AGGCAUACCUUGGAGAUAUUGCCAGUUCAGUUCCAGACCAUCACAAUAAAGCAUAUAUUGCAAUAAAGCAAGUCACACAAAUAUUUUGGUUUCCCAGUGCAUUAAACAAUUAUU